rnacentral:rRNA from 1 species
CAAUAGCGUAUAUUUAAGUUGUUGCAGUUAAAAAGCUCGUAGUUGGAUUUCGGAUGGGACUUGCCGGUCCGUCGUUUCGAUGUGCACUGUCCAGUCCUAUCUUGUUGUCGGGGACUAGCUCCUGGGCUUCACUGUCCGGGACUAGGAGCUGACGAGGUUACUUUGAGUAAAUUAGAGUGUUCAAAGCAAGCCUACGCUCUGAAUACAUUAGCAUGGAAUAACACGAUAGGACUCUGGCUUAUCUUGUUGGUCUGUGAGACCAGAGUAAUGAUUAAGAGGGACAGUCGGGGGCAUUCGUAUUUCAUUGUCAGAGGUGAAAUUCUUGGAUUUAUGAAAGACGAACUUCUGCGAAAGCAUUUGUCAAGGAUGUUUUCAUUAA